UACGGGGGGGGCAAGCGUUGUUCGGAAUUACUGGCGUAAAGGGCUCGUAGGUGGCCAACUAAGUCAGACGUGAAAUCCCUCGGCUUAACCGGGGAACUGCGUCUGAUACUGGAUGGCUUGAGUUUGGGAGAGGGACGCGGAAUUCCAGGUGUAGCGGUGAAAUGCGUAGAUAUCUGGAGGAACACCGGUGGCGAAGGCGGCGUCCUGGACCAACACUGACACUGAUGAGCGAAAGCCAGGGGAGCAAACGGG
rnacentral:rRNA from 1 species